rnacentral:lncRNA from 1 species
AUGGCUUACAUCUUAAAUGGACAAGUGUUGGACAGCAGAGUCCAUCUCCCUGGAGUUUAUCUUUGAUAACAGAUUUCUUCUGAAGAAUAGCCAAGUUUGUGAUUUUGUUUUUCAAAACUCUACUUCAGCAACAUGUGAAGAAAAGAAGAGGCUAUGGAAACACAUCUGAUUCCAGAUAUGAUCAUGGAAGACAGCCACCAGGAAACCCUCUGGGGAAAACAGGUCAAAUCAAUCAUCUGCAUCUCCCCAGUCCUCCCCCAAAGGCUGGUGGAUGAGGAAGGUAA